rnacentral:misc_RNA from 1 species
GAUGAAGAACGUAGUGAAAUGCGAUACUUGGUGUGAAUUGCAGAAUCCCGUGAACCAUCGAGUCUUUGAACGCAAGUUGCGCCCGAAGCCAUCAGGUUGAGGGCACGUCUGCCUGGGCGUCACAUAUCGUUGCCCAAUGCCUAUUGCAGUGCAAUAGGAAUUUCUAGGGCGAAUGAUGGCUUCCCGUGAGCGUUGUUGCCUCGCGGUUGGUUGAAAAUCGAGUCCUUGGUAGGGUGUGCCAUGGUAGAUGGUGGUCGAGUUAGAACGAUACCGAUCAUGUGCAUGCUCCCCAAAAUAUGGCCUCUAUGACCCACACGCGUCUUUUGACGCUCAUGACGAGACCUCAGGUCAGGCGGGGCUACCCGCUGAAUUUAAGCAUAUCAAUAAGCGGAGGU